rnacentral:rRNA from 1 species
UACGGAGGGUGCGAGCGUUAUCCGGAUUCACUGGGUUUAAAGGGUGCGUAGGUGGGUCUGUAAGUCAGUGGUGAAAUCUCCGGGCUUAACCUGGAAACUGCCAUUGAUACUAUAGGUCUUGAAUUUUCUGGAGGUAAGCGGAAUAUGUCAUGUAGCGGUGAAAUGCUUAGAUAUGACAUAGAACACCAAUUGCGAAGGCAGCUUGCUACAGGAAUAUUGACACUGAGGCACGAAAGCGUGGGAUCAAACAGG